UCCAGACUCCUACGGGAGGCAGCAGUGGGGAAUAUUGGACAAUGGGGGGAACCCUGAUCCAGCGACGCCGCGUGAGUGAAGAAGUAUCUCGGUACGUAAAGCUCUAUCAGCAGGGAAGAUAAUGACGGUACCUGACCAAGAAGCCCCGGCUAACUACGUGCCAGCAGCCGCGGUAAUACGUAGGGGGCAAGCGUUAUCCGGAUUUACUGGGUGUAAAGGGAGCGUAGACGGCAGCACAAGUCUGGAGUGAAAUCCCGGGGCUUAACCCCGGAACUGCUUUGGAAACUGUGCGGCUGGAGUGCAGGAGGGGUAAGCGGAAUUCCUAGUGUAGCGGUGAAAUGCGUAGAUAUUAGGAGGAACACCAGUGGCGAAGGCGGCUUGCUGGACAGUAACUGACGUUGAGGCUCGAAAGCGUGGGGAGCAAACAGGAUUAGAUACCCGUGUACC
rnacentral:rRNA from 1 species